UGCAAGUCGGAGUAGACAGUUGAGGAGUGG
rnacentral:piRNA from 1 species